rnacentral:rRNA from 1 species
GAUGAACGCUGGCGGCGUGCCUAAUACAUGCAAGUAGAACGCUGAAGCUUGGUGCUUGCACCGAGCGGAUGAGUUGCGAACGGGUGAGUAACGCGUAGGUAACCUGCCUCUUAGCGGGGGAUAACUAUUGGAAACGAUAGCUAAUACCGCAUAAAAGUCGAUAUCGCAUGAUAUUGAUUUGAAAGGUGCAAUUGCAUCACUAAGAGAUGGACCUGCGUUGUAUUAGCUAGUUGGUGAGGUAACGGCUCACCAAGGCGACGAUACAUAGCCGACCUGAGAGGGUGAUCGGCCACACUGGGACUGAGACACGGCCCAGACUCCUACGGGAGGCAGCAGUAGGGAAUCUUCGGCAAUGGGGGCAACCCUGACCGAGCAACGCCGCGUGAGUGAAGAAGGUUUUCGGAUCGUAAAGCUCUGUUGUAAGAGAAGAACGAGUGUGAGAGUGGAAAGUUCACACUGUGACGGAACUACCAGAAAGG